rnacentral:rRNA from 1 species
ACCAAAUAGAUACCCGGGUAGUCCACGCCCUAAACGAUGCGAACUGGAUGUUGGGUACAUUACGGUACUCAGUGUCGAAAGCUAAACGCGUUAAGUUCGCCGCCUGGGGUAGUACGGUCGCAAGACUGAAACUCAAAGGAAUUGACGGGGGUCCCGCACAAGCGGUGGAGUAUGUGGUUUAAUUCGAUGCAACGCGAAGAACCUUACCUGGCCUUGACAUCUGUCGAAUCCUGCAGAGAUGCGGGUAGUGCCGCAAGGAACGACAAGACAGGUGCUGCAUGGCUGUCGUCAGCUCGUGUCGUGAGAUGUUGGGUUAAACGUCCCGCAACGAGCGCAACCCGUUGUCCCUAGUUGCCAGCACGUAAUGG